UGAAAAUAUAACCAAAUCAGAUCCUAGCAUGGAGCGGUGACGGAAGGGUAUAGUAGUUAAUUAAUGAACUAAUAUGAAAUGAAAACUUUACACUUCAAAUGAAUUGGAGAACUUUACUAAUGUAUGUAAUUAAUUAUUUUUCAGGGUAUCUAUGUAGAGAUAGAUUCUGAUGACACUCGACCAAAAACCAAAGAAGCAAAUUUUAAGUCAGAAUGCAUCUAUGGGGAGCAGCAGAUUUAGGAGCCUGGAUAACAAAAGCUUUGAUCAAUUUCACAACAUUCAUGUGAAGUCAGCAGAACUAAAAUUAUUGUCAUGCAAUAGGUAAGUACUAUUAUGAUUUUAUCAUUGGGUUCUUUCAGGGGGAAUUUGACAAAGGAUUCUAAAGAUGACCUGA
rnacentral:lncRNA from 1 species